rnacentral:rRNA from 1 species
AUUGAACGCUAGCGGGAUGCCUUACACAUGCAAGUCGAACGGCAGCGCGGACUUCGGUCUGGCGGCGAGUGGCGAACGGGUGAGUAAUGUAUCGGAACGUGCCCAGUAGCGGGGGAUAACUACUCGAAAGAGUAGCUAAUACCGCAUACGCCCUACGGGGGAAAGGGGGGGAUCGCAAGACCUCUCACUAUUGGAGCGGCCGAUAUCGGAUUAGCUAGUUGGUGAGGUAAAGGCUCACCAAGGCGACGAUCCGUAGCUGGUUUGAGAGGACGAACAGCCACACUGGGACUGAGACACGGCCCAGACUCCUCCGGGAGGCAGCAGUGGGGAAUUUUGGACAAUGGGGGAAACCCUGAUCCAGCCAUUCCGCGUGUGCGAUGAAGGCCUUCGGGUUGUAAAGCACUUUUGGCAGGAAAGAAAUCGCAUGGAUUAAUACUCUGUGUGGAUGACGGUACCUGCAGAAUAAGCACCGGCUAACUACGUGCCAGCCGCCGCCGUAA